CGUGUAUAAAAUAGUCAACGUCUUUCAUUGACCUUGGGACUUGGCGCGGACUGCAAAACUGCACCGUUCGUUCACUUCCAGUCUCUUUGCUGUCAAGACGGAUGAUGAGAUUCUCUCAACGAACUCCUCUCGCUUUACACUUCCAUUGUUUUGGACAAGAAAUAAAGCACGUAAACUCAGAUCUCCGCCAUCUCUAUUGGUUUAUAUCCCUUCCCCAUGGCAGUGGCCUCCGCCGCCGCAGAUGAUCGAUCCGCUAAGGCCGCCGCCGCCGCCCAUGGAUCCUUCUCUUUCUAAAUGUGCUUCCGAUGUCGUUUCUGAAUCUUUAAUUUUGCGGAACGUUUCGUCUCCUAACGACGCGACCGGUUGCAACGAUCCUUCCAUUUCAUGGCAAACACUAGUCACAGAGAUGUUGAAAUUCAGUCUCCAACAACUUUGAAGAGUGAAGAAUACCGCCAACUGUUUAGGCUUCCUCCUGAAGAGUUCCUUGUUCAAGAUUUCAACUGUGCAUUCCAAGACGGUAUUCUUUUUCAGGGCCACAUGUACUUAUUUGCUUUUAUUCUAAUAUAUUUGGAUUUGAAACAAAGAAGAUAAUCGCUUUCAAUGAAAUUAAAAGUUUUAAAAAAGCAAAGACUGCUGGAAUCUUUUCUAAUGCAAUAGAGAUUUUUGCUGGAGGGAGGAAGCUUUCAAACUCAUUAAUGAUGGAUGGGUGCAGCAUGGUAAUGGAGGCAAUGAAAUUACAGAACAGCAGAAUUUUGAGGAGAUUUUCCAUUUCAUUCGAUAAAUUUAAGAUAUUUAGAGGUUUUGCGGAACUGAUGUUGGAGUCCUGCAGUAAAGAGAAUGGAUUUGUUGCAAUUGAAAAGGUCAAUAGCUUCAAAACCCUCAUAAAUGACAUGGAAUCUAGAGACGGGGGCGAGGACGUUUCCACCACUAAUAAUUUUAAGGUUCCAUCCACUUUUGAAAAUGAUACAGAAGUAGGUCUUGAAUCAAUUAUAAGUACAAAUUCUUCAACACCAACAGAUACUUGUUUCUUUGUGCCUGAGAAUUGUGAUGCACCAAAGGUUCCUGAUUAUUUUAUCAAGGUUGCAGAAACAAAGUUCCCGAUUAAGGUAGAGGAGUUUUUCAAUUUGUAUUUUUCAGAUAAUGCAAUUAAUUUUAUCAAAUCUUUCCAUAGAAGACGUGGAGAUAAAGUAUCAACAUACGUAUAUGUUGGUGCAAAAUUUUGUAGCUGCAAGGAGUCCCAGAAAUUUCAAAUUUACAGAAACAGUCACUGGGUUUUGGAGACAUCACAAGAGGUCAAUGAUGUACCAUAUGGAGAUUAUUUUCGUGUAGAGGGGUUUUGGGAUGUAGAAAGAGACAGUGAUGGCCCAGUAGAAGGCUGCAUUCGAGGGUUUAUGUGAAUGUGGCUUUCAACAAGAAAACUGUUUGGAAAGGGAAAAUAGUGAAGUCUACUCUGGAAGAAUGUCAAGAAGCUUAUGCAACUUGGCUGGACAUGGCACGUGAAUUGUUGAAGCAGAAUAUUGAUAAACAAGGAGGGGUAGAUCCUUCUGGAAGCUCAACUGAAAACGGUGAACACCAAAUUGAAAACAAAGUGGCUACUAUCGAGAAACCUUUAGAAAGAUCACAGAACUUGAGUGAUCCAGUAAGGACAUUGCAGAUGUCUACUUUUAUGGAUGUUAACCAACGAAUUGCCGAUCUUUUGCAAGGAACUUUGAGUAAUGCUUUGUCGAUUGCAUCUUUUUUAAGCAAAGUUUUUAAGGAAGUCCUUCUCGUACACGAAAAGACGAGGCCAUAUUUCACUACUCUUAGCUGUUGCUUUUGCUGUGAUCUUCCUCAUGCAAGUUUGCUAUUUCCUGUUUAUCUUAUUUAUCUUUACUCGUUUUAAAUUGGUAAACUAUACAACUUUCGUAAAAUUUCAUAUUGGGCAUUGAAAAUAAAAAGUUUGCAAUA